GCCGUUGUAGCUCAGGCGAGCAGAGCACUUGGUUGAAACCCAAGAGGUCACAGGUUCGACUCCUGUCGGCGGCACCA
rnacentral:tRNA from 1 species